ACCAACUCCAAAAAAACAUGGAGCUGCUGCACGUGUUUGGCUAAUGGCAGUACUCCAGCUCCAAAAACAUUAGCACUUGUUGUGAAUGGUCUAUUAUACCCAUGUGAAUGGGUCCCACUUGUCAGUCUCCUUUUCUUCUCCUUCUCCUUUCUUCUCCUUUCUUCUCCUUUUCUUCAGCAGUACAUGGACACCUUGCGCUUCCGAUCCUAUCCUGCUCAUGGAUGUUGGCGCAGCUGCCCACAGUCCAAACUCCAGACUUCCAAAUACCGAAAAACUUCUCUCAUUCGGUUGAGUGUGGACAUGAUUGAACCAGCUUCCCAUAAGAAAGCACAAGUGGCUUAACUGAGAACUUAAGAUUUCAGCUGUUGCAAUUUUAUAUCUUUCUGUAAGCAACUACAGGACACACUGACAUUGCAAUUAGUGCCAACAAAACCGAAAUGUCAACUUUCACCAAGUUUCAUCCCAUUUUGAAGCCCAAUAUCAAAGUUUCAUGUGGUUGCCAUUUGCAAGCUUUUUCUUCAGAUUCCAAAUGCAGGUUUCAGUACACGUUCAAUGGAUUCUGGGGAGAAAGAAAAGAUAUGAACCUGUGUUUUCGAUUUAAGAGGGCAACGACUCAACAAAAGCUAUGAAAAAAAAAAUCUAAAUCAGUGUAAAGGAAAAGAAAAACUGGAUCACCUCGACGGC
rnacentral:lncRNA from 1 species